rnacentral:rRNA from 1 species
CAUCGGKUCUAUUUUUGUUGGUUUCUAGGACCGCUGUAAUGAUUAAUAGGGAUAGUCGGGGGCGUCAGUAUUCAAUUGUCAGAGGUGAAAUUCUUGGAUUUAUUGAAGACUAACUAUUGCGAAAGCAUUCGCCAAGGAUGUUUUCAUUAAUCAGUGAACGAAAGUUAGGGGAUCGAAGACGAUCAGAUACCGUCGUAGUCUUAACCAUAAACUAUGCCGACUGGGGAUCGGACGGUGGUUUUUUAUGCCCCGUUCGGCACCUUACGAGAAAUCAAAGUUUUUGGGCUCUGGGGGGAGUAUGGUCGCAAGGCUGAAACUUAAAGAAAUUGACGGAAGGGCACCACAAGGCGUGGAGCCUGCGGCUUAAUUUGACCCAACACGGGAAAACUCACCAGGUCCAGACAUGUUUAGGAUUGACARAUAGAUAUCUCUUUCUUGAUUAUAUGGGUGGUGGUGCAUGGCCGUUCUUAGUUGGUGGAGUGAUUUGUCUGCUUAAUUGCGAUAACGAACGAGACCUUGACCUGCUAAAUAGCUAGAUUGACUUUUGUUGGUCGCCAGCUUCUUAGAGGGACUUUUGGCUCAAGCCAAUGGAAGUACGAGGCAAUAACAGGUCUGUGAUGCCCUUAGAUGUUCUGGGGCCGCACGCGCGCUACACUGUCRGAGCCAGCGAGUACAUCACCUUGGCCGAAAGGUCUGGGUAAUCUUGUUAAACUCUGUCGUGC